CCUACGGGAGGCAGCAGUGAGGAAUAUUGGUCAAUGGGCGCGAGCCUGAACCAGCCACGUCGCGUGAAGGAUGACUGCCCUACGGUUUGUAAACUUCUUUUAUAAAGGAGUAAAGUGAGGCACGUGUGCCUUUUUGUCUGUACUUUAUGAAUAAGGAUAGGCUCACUCAGUGCCAGCAGCCGCGGUAAUACGGAGGAUACGAGCGUUAUCCGGAUUUAUUGGGUUUAAAGGGAGCGUAGGUGGGUUGUUAAGUCAGUUGUGAAAGUUUGCGGCUCAACCGGAAAAGUGCAAGUGAUACUGGCAGACUUGAGUACAUAUGAGGUAGGCGGAAUUCGUGGUGUAGCGGUGAAAUGCGUAGAUAUCACGAAGAACUCCGAUUGCGAAGGCAGCUUACUAAUCUGCAACUGACACUGAUGCUCGAAAGCGUGGGUAGCAAACAGGAUUAGAUACCCUGGUAGUC
rnacentral:rRNA from 1 species